rnacentral:lncRNA from 10 species
CAGUGAUGACCCUUGGUUAACUGCAUACAACUUCUUACAGAAGAAUGAUUUGAAUCCUAUGUUUCUGGAUCAAGUAGCUAAAUUUAUUAUUGAUAACACAAAAGGUCAAAUGUUGGGACUUGGGAAUCCCAGCUUUUCAGAUCCAUUUACAGGUGGUGGUCGGUAUGUUCCGGGCUCUUCGGGAUCUUCUAACACACUACCCACAGCAGAUCCUUUUACAGAUAAUAGGGGAACCCACCAACCAAGACACAGCAUGAGUGCUAUCACUGGCGAGAUGCUACCAAUCACGAGCAGAGAAGGAGCCAUGUGAGCCCUGAUAUUGGAUGGAGCAGUACAAUCAAGAAGUCUCCCCAGGCAUAUUUUGACUUAACAUGGAAGGAGACAUUCCACCCAACUACCCAGGAGUAGUCUUCCUAAUCUAAGUUAUUAAUGUCCUUCUUGAAGCCCUUGAAGUGUUGGUGUAUCUCUUCA